rnacentral:rRNA from 1 species
UAAAACGAAUGUCGACUUGGAGGUUGUGGCUUCCGGAGCUAACGCGUUAAGUCGACCGCCUGGGGAGUACGGCCGCAAGGUUAAAACUCAAAUGAAUUGACGGGGGCCCGCACAAGCGGUGGAGCAUGUGGUUAAUUUCGAUGCAACGCGAAGAACCUUACCUGGUCUUGACAUCCAGGUGCUGCAUGGCUGUCGUCAGCUCGUGUUGUGAAAUGUUGGGUUAAGUCCCGCAACGAGCGCAACCCUUAUCCUUUGUUGCAACUCAAAGGAGACUGCCAGUGAUAAACUGGAGGAAGGUGGGGAUGACGUCAAGUCAUCAUGGCCCUUACGACCAGGGCUACACACGUGCUACAAUGGCGCAUACAAAGAGAAGCGACCUCGCGAGAGCAAGCGGACCUCAUAAAGUGCGUCGUAGUCCGGAUUGGAGUCUGCAACUCGACUCCAUGAAGUCGGAAUCGCUAGUAAUCGUGGAUCAGAUGCCACGGUGAAUACGUUCCCGGGCCUUGUACACACCGCCCGUCACACCAUGGGAGUGGGUUGCAAA